AGGACCCAGUCACUUCUACCCCAAGGGUCUCAAGGCGAACACGGGCAAUGGAAAAAAACUCAUAUAUAUUGUCACGCUGCAAGAGACCCUAGACAUGACUCCCCUUGCCCCUGAUGCGGAUGAGUUCAGAAAGAUGCCUAAGUCUUGUUGCAAAAAUUGCGGGGUGAAUAUGCCUAUCCAGCUGCUGGUGAGCCACAUUGGUGCAUGCAGCCAGCAGUUAUGUUGCCAGGAAUCAGCCUCUGACCAGGAGAAAAUGGACUUACCUGAUGUCUAUAUAGAGGAACAGGCAAAGUGUACCUGUCCAGUUUGUGGUGGGGAGUUUCCAGUAGAACUGUUGCCCUAUCACGGAAGUUCAUGUGGUGAAAG